GACGAACGCUGGCGGCGUGCCUAAUACAUGCAAGUAGAACGCAGUUGCGAACGGGUGGGUAACGCGUAGGUCACUGCCUGGUAGCGGGGGAUAACUACUGGAAACGAUAGCUAAUACCGCAUACUACCAGAUGGACCUGCGUUGUAUUAGCUAGUUGGUGAGGUAACGGCUCACCAAGGCAACGAUACAUAGCCGAACUGGGAGGGGGAGAGGACAAACUGGGAAUGAGACAAGGGCCAGAAUCCUAAGGGAGGGAGCAGGAGGGAAUCUUCGGCAAUGGGGGGAACCCUGGCCGAGCAACGCCGGGUGAGGGAAGAAGGUUUUCGGAUCGUAAAGCUCUGUUGGUAAGGAAGCGGUACUUAACCAGAAAGGGACGGCUAACUACGUGCCAGCAGCCGCGGUAAUAC
rnacentral:rRNA from 1 species